GGUGAACGCUGGCGGCGUGCUUAAGACAUGCAAGUCGAACGGCAGUCUUCGGACUGUAGUGGCGCACGGGUGAGUAACGCGUAACUGACCUACCCCAAAGUCGCGGAUAACGAUUCGAAAGAAUCGCUAAUACGUGAUGUGCUGUCAGAUUGUGUUCUGCCAGUAAAGAUUGAUUGCUUUGGGAUGGGGUUGCGUUCCAUCAGCUAGUUGGUGGGGUAAAGGCCCACCAAGGCGACGACGGAUAGCCGGCCUGAGAGGGUGGCCGGCCACAGGGGCACUGAGACACGGGUCCCACUCCUACGGGAGGCAGCAGUUAGGAAUCUUCCACGAUGGGCGAAAGCCUGAUGGAGCGACGCCGCGUGAGGGAUGAAGGUCUUCGGAUCGUAAACCUCUGAAUCAGGGACGAAAGACACUUCGGUGGGAUGACGGUACCUGAGUAAUAGCACCGGCUAACUCCGUGCCAGCAGCCGCAGUAACAC
rnacentral:rRNA from 1 species